UCUCCGUAGGUGAACCUGCGGAGGGAUCAUUACCGAGCUCAUGCCCUUACGGGUAGAUCUCCCACCCUGUGUUAUUAUUACCUUUGUUGCUUUGGCGGGCCGCCAGGCUCCGGUCAGGCUAUCGGCUUCGGCUGUAAGCGCCCGCCAGAGGACCCUAUAUCCUGAUUAUUAGUGUCGUCUGAGUACUAUAUAAUAGUUAAAACUUUCAACAACGGAUCUCUUGGUUCUG
rnacentral:misc_RNA from 1 species